CACCUUGCACAGUGGCAAUAUCGUAACCAAUGAAGGUCUCCUGAGGUGCGAUUAUUGUUAGUUGAAAAAUUAUUAUAUUUACU
rnacentral:snRNA from 1 species